rnacentral:rRNA from 1 species
UGUCCAGACUCCUACGGGAGGCAGCAGUGAGGAAUAUUGGUCAAUGGGCUUACGCCUGAACCAGCCAAGUCGCGUGAGGGAAGGCUGCCCUAUGGGUUGUAAACCUCUUUUGUCAGGGAGCAACGCCGGCUACGUGUAGCCGGACUGAGAGUACCUGAAGAAAAAGCAUCGGCUAACUCCGUGCCAGCAGCCGCGGUAAUACGGAGGAUGCGAGCGUUAUCCGGAUUUAUUGGGUUUAAAGGGUGCGUAGGCGGAAUGCCAAGUCAGCGGUAAAAUCGCGGGGCUCAACCUCGCUCCGCCGUUGAAACUGGCAGUCUCGAGUUGGAGAGAAGUAUGCGGAAUGCGCGGUGUAGCGGUGAAAUGCAUAGAUAUCGCGCAGAACUCCGAUUGCGAAGGCGGCAUGUCGGCUCCACACUGACGCUGAGGCACGAAAGCGUGGGUAUCGAACAGGAUUAGAUACCCCAGUAG